CUUACUUCCAUGCUUAAAUGUUGGCGCACCGCUCUUCACCGGAGGUUUUCGCUCUCAAAGUUCUCCCCAGCCCCCGAGAGCGUUCAUUUUAAAGGCUGAGAAAGGGGCUUCGACACAGGAGGACCACCUUGAAAACGUGCACCUUUAGCAGCAGGCCCAGCCUGUCCCCGAACGGGAGCGGUGGGAACGUUCCCCUGUGCAGCCGGCCAUGACAGGCCCAUGUCGGGCCGGGCCUCGGCUCCUCCACUCCGUGGAGUGGGUGAUUGACAGGUCUCACCGGGGGAGGUUGGACUCCUUAUCUGUCAUUCAGAACGGCCAAGACGCCACCUGAAGGAAUCGCAUGUGGGAUCUCGGCAUCAAACGAGCCAACGGAAGAGGCAAGUUUUUGUUGACAGAAAGAGCCCUUUGUUGGAAUUACGUAACGUGAAACUUAAAAGAACCGAGGCAACAUGAACACAACAUUGUGGAGUGAAUGAUCUAAUUUCUUAAAUUG